rnacentral:rRNA from 1 species
GCAGCCGCCACGGGAAUACAGAGGGUGCGAGCGUUAAUCGGAUUUACUGGGCGUAAAGCGUGCGUAGGCGGCUUUUUAAGUCGGAUGUGAAAUCCCUGAGCUUAACUUAGGAAUUGCAUUCGAUACUGGGAAGCUAGAGUAUGGGAGAGGAUGGUAGAAUUCCAGGUGUAGCGGUGAAAUGCGUAGAGAUCUGGAGGAAUACCGAUGGCGAAGGCAGCCAUCUGGCCUAAUACUGACGCUGAGGUACGAAAGCAUGGGGAGCAAACAGGAUUAGAUACCCCUGUAGUCCCUGUCUCUUAUAC